UGGGAAUUUGGACAAUGGGCGAAAGCCUGAUCCAGCAAUGCCGCGUGUGUGAAGAAGGCCUUCGGGUUGUAAAGCACUUUUGUCCGGAAAGAAAUCCUUGGCUCUAAUACAGUCGGGGGAUGACGGUACCGGAAGAAUAAGCACCGGCUAACUACGUGCCAGCAGCCGCGGUAAUACGUAGGGUGCAAGCGUUAAUCGGAAUUACUGGGCGUAAAGCGUGCGCAGGCGGUUUGCUAAGACCGAUGCGAAAUCCCCGGGCUCAACCUGGGAACUGCAUUGGUGACUGGCAGGCUAGAGUAUGGCAGAGGGGGGUAGAAUUCCACGUNUAGCAGUGAAAUGCGUAGAGAUGUGGAGGAAUACCGAUGGCGAAGGCAGCCCCCUGGGCCAAUACUGACGUUCAUGCACGAAAGCGUGGGGGAGCAAACAGGAUUAGAUACCCUGGUAGUCCACGCCCUAAACGAUGUCAACUAGUUGUUGGGGAUUCAUUUCCUUAGU
rnacentral:rRNA from 1 species